UACGUAGGUGGCGAGCGUUGUCCAGAUUUACUGGGCGUAAAGGGCGUGCAGGCGGUUUGUUAAGUGCAGGGUGAAAGCUCCCGGCUCAACUGGGAGAGGUCCUUGCAUACUGGCGAACUCGAGGGAGGCAGAGGAAAGUGGAAUUCCCGGUGUAGUGGUGAUAUGCGUAGAUAUCGGGAGGAACACCUGUGGCGAAGGCGGCUUUCUGGGCCUUACCUGACGCUGAGACGCGAAAGCGUGGGGAGCGAACCGG
rnacentral:rRNA from 1 species